CUUUUUUAGAGGAUACUAGUGAGUUUCUUUGAAAUUUCUUUUGUUGUCUGUCUGCAUUGUCUCUUUGUCUUCUAAGAUUAUUUUUUUUCCUUUUUGUUUGGACUGUAUCUGUUAUGUUGGAGUCUUUCCUAAAAUAUCUGCUGGCCCUUGGCUGUCUGCAUUUAAGAGUGAGUAUUGAAAAAUCUGAUUUUGGUGGGAAGGGUAAAUUCUAAUGAAUGGUGAGUUUUACUGGAGGAUUAAGAAGCUAGGAUGAGCAGACUUCUCGUGGGCUUGCCCAAUGUUAGCAUUCAGAGGAUCCACCACUUUCUAGCUUUAAAAGGAGCAAGUCAACCAGGUCUGACAGCUUUCUGGGAAAUGCGUGGGCAAAAAGGCUGGAAGGCCUUGCAGACUGUUUUGUAGUAUGA